ACCCCCAAGCGCUCCCGAGGGUGUUGAGAGGGUCAAACGGUCCUUCCCGCCCUGACAGGGCGCUCAACAGGCGUAGCCGUGACGGCGCUGCCCACAGGCACCCGCCGGCCGCACUCCCCGCAGAACGCCCGGUGGCGGCGGCUCCGGGUGAGGCGGGGCCCCGCCGAAGCCCGCCCCCGCUCCGCCUCUUCCUCCCCGGCCUGCGGCGGGAAGGGCGAGGGGUCGCUGGCCCUAUGGAGCCGCUGCUCUUCGCGUGGGGUGCGAACAGCUAUGGACAACUUGGUCUUGGUCAUAAAGAGGAUGUGCUGGUACCUCAGUCACUGAAAGAUGUUUCCUGCAAAUGUCAAGACAUUAAAAGCAUUACUGGAGGAGGGGGACAUUCUGCACUUAUCACUGGUGCGGGAGAACUUUUUGUAUGUGGCCAUAACAGACAUGGGCAGUUGGGAUUGAAUCACACGGAUGAUGUACUGCAUUUUACUUUGUGCGCUGCUGUGUCUGGCUUUGGUGUAAAACAAGUUGCCUGUGGCUGGGAUUUUACAAUUAUAUUAGUAGGAUCUGGUGACGUUCUGUCCUGUGGGUCUAACUCUUUUGGACAAUUAGGAGUUCCUCAAAUUUCAGGUCCAUGCUUGAUCCCACAAAAGAUUGAGUCUCUCAAAGAGAAGGUGGUAGAUGUUGCUGCAGGACUGAGACAUGCCCUUGCUGCUACAGAGAGCGGUUUGGUGCUUCAAUGGGGAACUGGCAUGGCGGCUCAGGCGAAGCGUGCAAACCCAGGGAAAACCCUUCCCCUGUUCUUGACAGCAAAGGAACCCUGUGAAGUAACAGGCCUGGAAGAUAUAAAGGUGAAGACAGUUGCUGCAAGCUCCUGUCAUUCGGUAUCACUCACAGAUGAAGGACACCUGUAUGCCUGGGGUAGCAACAAACAUGGGCAGCUAGUGAGCAAAGAGGUCUUUCUUGCUGAGCCCAAGAAGAUUGAGACUCGAUUUUUCUCACAUGAAAAGAUUGGAGCAGUUUGGAGUGGCUGGACCCACUUGGUGGCGCAAACAGCAAAUUGCAGUUGGGAUGAUGAUGAUUCUCUUGGAAACAUCUCCCCUUUCACAGCGAUAGUGUAACCGGGAUACAAAGCUGAUACAAUUUUCCUUUGGAGAGCAAGAGUUUGACCAUAAGUGUCAUGUACUUGUAGCUGGAGCUGUUGGCACUAUCUUUUGAAACUGGCAAGGUAUUCACCUGGGGGAGAGCGGACUAUGGCCAACUUGGAAGGCAUGCAAUGGUUCCUGAUGGGCAGGAGGCGUGCACAGCAUCUGAACAACACUUGGAGCUGUUGUGUGACAUCCCUGUUUCGGUGCCUUGCCUAAACGGAGCAUCUCAGAUUGCGUGUGGCUCAGAGCAUAAUCUGGCAGUAGUUGGUGAUCGAUGCUUGUCUUGGGGAUGGAACGAACAUGGGAUGUGUGGUGAUGGCACAGAAGCAAAUGUUCACGUCCCGAAGCCUAUCAAAGCUCUUAGUUACGCAAAACAGAUCUUAAUUGGAUGCGGGGCAGGACACUCUAUGGCUCUUUGUCAAACUCCACAUCAGACUCAGCACACCUGAAAUCGUAGCAUCACAGAUGGGGAUGGACAUUUUUGGAUUGCGUAUCUCAGAAGUGCUACAAGAGGAUUGCCCAUGAUUCACACAUUAGUUGGAAAGUGCAGAAGAGAUUUUUUUCUAAGACUAAAAGGAAAGAAUAUGCAUAAAAACCUAUAAUAUUUUAAAAAUUGUUUCAUGGGCCUUUUUCACAGGAAUUGACUUUCUUAACCACAGAUAGAAUGACAUUUUGCCAUGACACAAUACCAUCAAAGAAAGAAUGACGUUUACUUGUUCUUCUGAGAAGUCUUUGAGGAAGAAACUGAUGGCAUAAUCGCUUAUUGAUGUAUAAAUUUGAUCUGAGGAAAUGGUCUGAGAAGGUGGAGGCACAGGGCCCCUUCUGGUCUUUUAUUAUUGUAUCUUUGUCAUGAUGAGCACUUGUUGUGCCUGCCAGCUUCUACUGGAGUUGUGAGCUCCAGCAUCUCAGAGAAUCCAGCUUGCAUCACAGAGAAAUGCCAGUGAACAUAAAUAGAUGCAUAUACACACAUUUUAAACAGAAGAUUAGGAUAAAAAAAAAAAAGAUAUAAUUUAGAAGGCUGGCAAAAAUGAGGCCCUUCUGAACUAGCUAUAUCUUGAUUAAACUCUGAAAGGAGCAUUAUUUCUGAGAAAUUAUCUUCUGUGCCAGACAUCAGUUUAUUACAGAUUUACAGGGAUGCAGAUCCACAUGAAUUAUCAUUAACUUGCAAACCAAACCUGAAGUUUCUGAAGGUACCACUUAAGGAAGAAAAGCUUCUAAGGGCUCUUGGAAACAGUAGAAAAGUUCUUGACAAAAGUCCUAAGUCCAGUUGUAGCUGUUGAGGACAGUUUGGUCUGACAUAGCUCCUGUGUUCACAGCUACCUUUGAAUAGGAAGACAUCAAAAUCUAACCAGAAAGUUUUUACAAGUUCUCCAGCUAAGACACAGACCAGAAUGCUCCUGAUAAUUUCAAGUUAGUUCUCACAUCUGUUUCGCAGCCCAGCUGAGCUGUUCAGAGCAUGCCCACAGCACUUGUUCCAGGUGAGUGCUCAGCAGAGAACAUAGGCCUAACACUUGUUUUGGUAGGAGAAAUAAAAAAGUGUAUAUUAUCUUCAGAUAUUUUUAGCUGCCUAUGUUGAGCAGAAUUUUGAAAGCUAUUUACAAAACUGUCUUUCACAUAAAUACAGUGGAUGCCAUUAAACUGGAUGUUUGCCUCCCACGAUAGUUGCAUUUGCUUUGGUAUUUGAAGUAUUUCAAGUUCUAAAUUUAGAGAAUGCUACUGUGUGGUAAAUCCACCUUUUAAUGAGACCUACUGUUGCUUAACAGUGCUUUAAUUUUUAAAGCAAGCUUGCCAGUGAAGAAGCCUUACAGAAUUACAAAAAUCCUCAGAGAAGGGCUCUCAGGAAAUUGGACAGGCAGACUUUCUAAUGAUGUAUCAGCAUACGCUUGAGGGGGAAGGAACUAAGGUGGCAAUAUGGGCUGUGAGGGUUUCCCCCCCUUGACUCUACAGCUGUUAUAGUUCAUGGCCUAAUUUUCAUUGGUGUUUUCUUUUUCUAUUCAAUGGAUGAGAAAGUUGAACUGACUAUGACACUGAUUGUAACAACUGUAUUAUGGAUACUGAAGGAAUCUGUAAGAAUAAUCAAAUGGGUCCUCUGCUAAAAGUGCAGAAUUGAGACUUCUUUUGUAAAGUUCCAUUUUCUAGAUACCACAGCCUCUUAAAUGCACUGAACAGCUUGUCAUGCUUUUUUUUGGCAGUUCUGUCUGAGGUUUCUACCUUUGUUUUCCUCCAAAAUCUGUGUACCAAAUGAACAUGCUAUCUUGUUUCAGCAGUCAUACUUUCUAAAUAAUUCUGUUCCUUGACUAACCACAGCUAGUAUGUGUGCCCUGUGACACAGGGGUUACUGUAUUGAAUGCAUUUUGAAUGUGUAUGCUGUUGCUGCAGUUCAUUUCAGAGGAAUUCAACAAAUUGUGUAACAAAUAAAUGCAACUUGGUUAUUUGAAA